AGCUCCAGAAGCGUAUAUUAAUAUUGUCGCGGUUAAAAAGCUCGUAGUUGGAUUUCUGAUUAACCGUUCUGGCCCGCAAACUUCGGUUUGUGAGUGCCGGAACGUUGUUUUUCAUCCUUUCAGAGAGCUAGUGUCUACUCUUCACUGAGCAGGACGCUGUAAUCUGAAUCAUUUACUUUGAAAAAAUUAGAGUGUUCAAGGCAGGCUUUUGCUAUGAAUACAUGAGCAUGGAAUAAUAAUAUAGGACUUUGGUUCUAUUUUGUUGGUUUCUAGGACUGAAGUAAUGAUUGAUAGGGAUAGUUGGGGGUGCUAGUAUUGUUAGGCCAGAGGUGAAAUUCUUGGAUUCUAGCAAGACUAACUACUGCGAAAGCAUUCACCAAGGAUGUCUUUUUUA
rnacentral:rRNA from 1 species